rnacentral:lncRNA from 1 species
AUAUGGAGGUUCCCAGGCCAGGGGUCCAAUCAGAGCUACAGCUGCCAGCCUAUGCCACAGCCACAGCAAUGCCAGAUCCGAGCCACAUCUGCAACUUAUACCACAGCUCACGGCAAUGCUGGAUCCUUAAUCCAGUGAGCAAGGCCAGGGAUCAAACCUGCAACCUUAUGGUUUCUAGUCAUAUUCGCUUCCACUGCGCCACAAAGGGAACUCCUCCUCCUAAGGGUUUUUUAUCGUGACUUAGCCCCCAAAGUUUAAUUAUCUCUAAAGCUCUGGUAGACCAAGUUUAAACUAUAAAGUGAAGGACUGUGGUGAUGGCAAAUGCCACGUGGCACAGAUGCAACCAGGCAGAAAGCUGUUAUUACUGCACGCACUGCUGUAUGCCUAUCCGUUCAAACUUAGUUCCUUCUCACCCAUUUAAAACAUAUUCUUUCUUGGUGCUAUCAAGUCAAAUCUAGCUUAGGAAGAGAACUGAAAAAAUGAAGCUUUGGGAAUGACAUUCACAUAAAACAUUUUCCCUCUACCCAUGUUUUAAGAAUCAGAAUACAUAAAUGUCAAGUCUCCCCUGCCUCUCAACAGGUGACAUUCUAUUUCUAUUUUUGUGUUGGUGCCCACUGCCAGAGCCAUAAUACCAAAGGCUACUUAUUUGGUUCUGGCAGAGUCAGUAUACAAACAUUUUUCUUCCCCCCUCUAUUUACCUAUAAAUAAUCUGCUAUAAAACAUUACAGGUUGGUAGAUGCAAACUAUUACUUUUAGAAUGAAUAAGGAUAAUGCUAUCCUACUGCACAGCUCUGGGAAAUAUAUCCAAUCACUUAUGACAGAAGAUAAUAUGAGAAAAAGAGUGUGUAUAUACAUAUGUAUACUUGGAGACUCCGCUGUGUAGCAGAAACCGACAGAACACUGUAAAUCAACUGUAAUAAAAAAAUGAACUUUUUUUUUUAUAAAAAUAGCGUGGCCUGUCCUAUAGUUAUAAGGUUCUUCCAUGAAUGAAAAUUGACAUUUUUGGCUGCACCCACAGAACAUGGACGUUCCUGGGUCAGGGACUGAAUUUGAGCAGCAGCUGCAACAACACCAGAUCCUUUAAACCACUGCACCUGGCUGGGGAUGGAACCUGAGUCCCUGUUGCUUCAGAGACACCACUGAUCCUGUGGGAUUCCCACAGUGGGAAAUUCUGAGAUGCCCACAUAUUAAAAAAACAAGUAUGUAUUACUUUUUCAAUCUAAAAAAUAACUUUUUAAACUUCAAAACAAAUUCCAGAUGGCAAUAGCUUAGUUAUAAAAACAACCACAAUGGUAUAUUCAUAUAAGGGAAUUUUACUCAGCCAGGUAAAGGAAUGAAUUACUGGUACAUGCUAUAACAUAGAUGAAUCUUUAGUCAGACAUAAAAGAUUACGCAGUAAUUCCAUUUAUAUAAAAUGUCUACUAGAAGAGGCAAAUCCACAGAGACAGAAAAUACAUCAGUGACUGCCAGAGGAUGGGGAGAAUGAGGAGUGACUGCUGAUGGGCACAGGGUGAUGGAGAUGUUCUGGAAUUAUAUGGUGGCAAUAGUUGCAAAACUUUAUGAAUAUACCAAAACCACUGAAUUGUACACUUUACAGGGUGACUUUUAUGUAUGUAAAUUAUAUCUCAACUUAAAAAUCUAUAUGAGGGAGUUCCUGUCGUGGCGCAGUGGUUAACGAAUCCGACUAGGAACCAUGAGGUUGCGGGUUCGAUCCCUGCGCUCAAAAUUUUUCUAAUUAGGCACUUUUUAAUCAUCAGAAUAAAGAUCUGCUAGCACACAAAUAGGCUCAAUUUUCCUUUCUACAUAUCAUAACCAAUUCUUCAGUAUAAAAGUUUAUCACGUUGAGUCAAAAAACUUCUCUUCCUGAGACUAUACCAAGAAUUAAAUAUAGUUCUGGUCACCAAAUGUCCCGUUCGGUGCCAACCCGGCUCUCCGGGCACACCACCUUUCUAAAUUACUGUGCACACUGCUGUUGCAGGAACAAAUCGCAGAUAUAAUCUCUCUACGCACAGAAGAGGUGUCAAGUGCACAAUCAGCUUCAAAAGCUGGACUGCUAACUUAAAUUCAUUCAGAGCUAGUAGUCUUCUUGGAAGGCAUGUCUUAACCAUCUUAUGCAAACAUUUUUUCUCUAGACAGAAAUUCACCUAGAUGACCAAACAUAAAAUGCUACUCAAACCCAUAUUUUUGGUAGUUAUUCUCCAACUGGCAUUAGAAUGGGUUUUACUUUUGCCACUACCUAAAAAUAAGGCUUUUUUUUCCCCAGUACCAUUCUGGUCUCAAUUUCAGCUGACUUCUCUGAGUUAGCUUCUGAGAUAACUUUUGUUCCGUUCACUGCUGUAUCUCCAGAACAUAAUAAACACUCAGUAAAGAGCUGUUUGAAAAAAUAAAUGAAGGCAUUCCUGCUGUGGUGCAAGGGGAUUGGUGGUGUCUUGGGAGGGUUAGAACGUAGGUUCCAUCCCUUGCCCAGCUCACUGAGUUUAGGAUCAAGCGUUGCCACAGAUGCCGUGUAGAUCUCGACUAAGGCUCAGAUCUGAUCUCUGGCCCCGGAAUUCCAUAUGCCAAGGGGUGGCCAAAAAAGAAAAAAAAAAGAAAAAAGAAAAAAGAUGAAUUCUCCUGUGGUGCAGCGGAUUAAGGAUAUGGUGUUGUCACUGCAGCAGCUUGGGUCACUGCUGUGGCUCAAGUUUGACCCCUGGAGUGGGAAUUUCCACGUGCCAAGGGCAUGGACAAAAGAAAAAAAAAAGGAAUUUAAUUUUGAGGGAGAAAUCACCACCAUACGAUGUUAACUUUCUAUACAAUAAUAUUGCUAAUAGAUUCCACAAAAUCAUAUUAAAAAACCCCUAAAAUCUAGUCACAAAGAAUUAAAAAGAUAUUUGUAAUUAAGUAUGACCUUUAAUUUUUUCUUAUAUUCUUUCUACAUGCCUAUCAUUCUUGACCUGGAAGGGUAGAGCAAAUAUUAAGUAGACCAAGUGAGAAAGACAGUUACUUCACAAAAUUACUUUGUGCUUCUGUCUGUCUUACAGGUAGGAGUCAGAGGUGCCAAAAGACUGGCAGCUAUUAAGUUGCAGAGCUAGGAUUUGAACUUGGCUGGCUACUAGAGUUCAUUAUUAACAAACGCUGCACUUGGCAGGAAAAAGGAGGGCAGAAGUAGGGAUAUAAAAUGGAACUCUAGACUAAGGGAGAAGACAGAAUACAUGUACCACAGAGAUUCGCCACAGUUGCCAAGGGGCUGCCACCGUCACACUUCUCCAGUCCACUGGCAAUCCAUCAAGGUGGUGGAGGACCAAGACAAAUGACUGGGAAUUUUCACUUAAAAAUUCAUGCUUAGUGGGCAAGUACAAAUAUUCAAAGAAAAAAAGUAAGACAUAAGGUUAGAUAUAUCUCAAAGGUCCUAGGGAUUGGUAGUUCAAUUCAGGAGCUAAAGUUAAAAUAAUCUCUCUGGACAAACACAGAAAGCUUCCUCAAGUGAUUAGGAUUCAAGUGUGGUUGAGGGGUAGAAUAUUCUUCUCCAGAAGACAUCUUAAAUUUAUUAGAGAAUUAAAGGGAAAAACUGAUUCAACUGCCAACUUUGUCCAUAACUUCAAGUCUUUAUCUACUGUUCACAGUGAGGUGAACUGACUCAGCUAAUUUCAGAACUGAAUGUUUCACCUGACACUGGAGCCUAAGAGAGCGUGAAUUAAAAUGUAAAUUCUAAGACAUGAAAUUACAGGUUAUCACACAAGAAAACUGAAUGUGGAACUUGAAGUGGUAAGUAAACAGCUUGUUUCAGGGAAACAAAAAUACCAUUUGCUUGGCAGUUCUAUUUACAGAAAUACACUCCUGUGUUAACAAAUAGUUAUUUAACAGACUCACAGAUACAGAAAACAAACUUAUAGUUACUAAAGAGGAUAGCGGGGGAAGGGGGUGAAGAGGUAAGUUAGGAGUUUGGGAUGAGCACACAAACACACGACUAUAUAUAAAACAGGGAACUUCUAUAUGCUUGGAUGCGGCCAUAAAAAGGAAAACAACAACAACAAAACAGCUAUUACUCCUCCAUUCCUAAGAUGCUUAAUUUUAAGGGUGUGCUAUAAACAACAUUGACAAAAUCUUUCCUUCUUCAAUGCUUUUCGGAGGCAUCCCGGCUUACAAACACAAUGAUCAAGAAAGUCUUAUGGGUCAUGGCUUAAAAAUACAAACCAAUCAAAAGCAUUAAAGAAUAAAUAACUUUGUUACUCCUUCGUAUGGAACCUUUUUACAUAAAAAUGUAUUAAUAUUAUUUAGGCCAAAAAAAAGGUGGAAUGAGAAAAAUAAACUGUAAAAUCUGAAAUAAUUCGAGGUUAAGAAAACAACGAAUAUAGGACUCAGAAAGUGGCCUAAAAUCACACAAUCAACAGCGACUGUAAACAGUUAAUUGCCUGCAUAUUUUACUACUUUUUGGAAAAAAACAACUUAAAUAUGUAAUAGAAAUAACUUUCUGAAAAGUGUUACCCUGCACGUAAAACACGUACCCAUUGAUCAUUUCAUGCAAGCAGUGUUGCCAAACUUAAGACUAGCCGUCCUGUUUCUGAAAAUCAACAUUUUUGCUUCCAGAGAGCUUCUCAAUUGAAGAAGACCAGUCACCAUCUGUCUCAACCAAAGUCAACUUCUAUUUUAAAAAUCACAGUCCGCCAUCACACCCACCUCUCUAUAAACAAAUGCUUGAUACAUUUCAACUCGAUGAUUUCUGAAGGACCGAGUCACCUGAGAAAACGGCUACGUUUAUUAUAUCAAGGGCCUUGAGAUUCACAACGUCCAGGUUCAUUUUCAACUA